rnacentral:rRNA from 2 species
GUUGACCUCGGAUCAGGUAGGGAUACCCGCUGAACUUAAGCAUAUCAAUAAGCGGAGGAAAAGAAACCAACAGGGAUUGCUCUAGUAACGGCGAGUGAAGCAGCAAUAGCUCAAAUUUGAAAUCUGGCGUCUUCGGCGUCCGAGUUGUAAUUUGUAGAGGAUGCUUCUGGGCAGCCACCGACCUAAGUUCCUUGGAACAGGACGUCAUAGAGGGUGAGAAUCCCGUAUGCGGUCGGA